rnacentral:rRNA from 1 species
AAGACCUUGCACUUUUGGAGCGGCCGAUGUCUGAUUAGCUAGUUGGUGGGGUAAAGGCCUACCAAGGCAUCGAUCAGUAGCUGGUCUGAGAGGACGACCAGCCACACUGGGACUGAGACACGGCCCAGACUCCUACGGGAGGCAGCAGUGGGGAAUUUUGGACAAUGGGCGCAAGCCUGAUCCAGCCAUGCCGCGUGAGUGAAGAAGGCCUUCGGGUUGUAAAGCUCUUUCAGCCGGGAAGAAAAGGUUGCGACUAAUAAUCGCGAUCCAUGACGGUACCGGAAGAAGAAGCACCGGCUAACUACGUGCCAGCAGCCGCGGUAAUACGUAGGGUGCGAGCGUUAAUCGGAAUUACUGGGCGUAAAGGGUGCGCAGGCGGUUUUGUAAGUCAGAUGUGAAAUCCCCGGGCUUAACCUGGGAACU